rnacentral:lncRNA from 1 species
UGGCUGUGAAGGCUUGCUGUCCAAGGACUAGGACUUUUCCUGUGAAUUUUAGACUCAGAUUUUCAGGUUUAAAUGUCACGUCCGGCGUUGUUCAUCUUUUAUGCCUCCAAAGCAAAUCCGAGGGGUUUUGUUUUAUUUUUCGCUGUGCUGGUGAUAGAGACAGAGUAAAGGGACAAAGUAAGUGAUCAAAUAAUUAAUCCCACUAAAGGAUUGUAAGUAGGAAAAUAUGGGAAACGCCUGGAAGUUAAUGGUUAUUCAAGAAAGCAGGUUUGCAUAACCACAAAACCAAGCAGGCCUGCUCAGCAACAAGGUCAUGCAACGUCAGACACGCCCCAAAGCAAUAAAACAGUGAUGCCAGGAGACCCACAACCGGCCGGGUGAGCUCCAUCAACGCUUAAUUUUUUCAUCGACACGUGAAUGGCACAGUCAGCAGGAUAUCAGUGAUUCCCAGAGGACACCUGGGGUCUGCCCUGAACCAGCGCUUGGAACCAACACAGACCCCGUUGCGUCCCACCAGCUUCUCAGUGCUCCUCGGGUGUUCCAGGGAUUUCUCCUGAUAUCUAGAUUUCAUUGUUUUCAAGUGAUGGUCCUAAAUGUUUAUUCGAGCUGUGUUUACUUGAGACUUGGAGUCUUAAAGGGCACCAGUCAUCUCCUACAGACGUGUGGGGAUACGGGCAGGAGCCCCAAGGAAACAUGAGUGGCUGGGUCUUUGCUAAAUUUGGUUUAAAUGGAAAAAUAAAACAAGCUGCUAUAUGGUCUGAACAAAACUUCUGCUAGUGAAAUGUGAGACUGAUUCAACUCCAAAAAAACAAGGGACACUUGCUCCUUCUGGCC